rnacentral:rRNA from 1 species
CCUACGGGAGGCAGCAGUGGGGAAUAUUGCACAAUGGGGGAAACCCUGAUGCAGCAACGCCGCGUGAAGGAAGACGGUUUUCGGAUUGUAAACCUCUGUUCUUAGUGAAGAAUAAUGACGGUAGCUAAGUAGCAAGCCACGGCUAACUACGUGCCAGCAGCCGCGGUAAUACGUAGGUGGCAAGCGUUGUCCGGAAUUACUGGGUGUAAAGGGAGCGCAGGCGGGAAGCCAAGUCAGCUGUGAAAACUACGGGCUUAACUUGUAGACUGCAGUUGAAACUGGUUUUCUUGAGUGAAGUAGAGGUAGGCGGAAUUCCGAGUGUAGCGGUGAAAUGCGUAGAUAUUCGGAGGAACACCGGUGGCGAAGGCGGCCAGCUGGGCUUUAACUGACGCUGAGGCUCGAAAGUGUGGGGAGCAAACAGGAUUAGAUACCCCAGUAGUC